CCUUGUAGCUCUGUUGGCUAGAGCAUCCCCUUGCUGGCGUGGGUUCGAAUCCCACCGAGG
rnacentral:tRNA from 1 species